rnacentral:rRNA from 1 species
UACGUAGGUGGCAAGCGUUGUCCGGAUUUACUGGGUGUAAAGGGCGUGUAGCCGGGCCGGCAAGUCAGAUGUGAAAUCCCAAGGCUCAACCUUGGAACUGCAUUUGAAACUGUUGGUCUUGAGUAUCGGAGAGGCAGGCGGAAUUCCUAGUGUAGCGGUGAAAUGCGUAGAUAUUAGGAGGAACACCAGUGGCGAAGGCGGCUUACUGGACGGCAACUGACGCUGAGGCUCGAAAGCGUGGGGAGCAAACAGG